rnacentral:tRNA from 1 species
GCCGGGGUGGCGAAACACGGCAAACGCGAUGGACUCAAACUCCAUUGUCCGCAAGGACUUGCGGGUUCGACUCCCGCCCCCGGCA